rnacentral:tRNA from 1 species
GCGCAUGUGGUGAAAUUGGUAGACACAUCAGACUUAGGAUCUGAUGCCGUAAGGUGUGGGGGUUCGAGUCCCUCCAUGCGCA